UAAACAAUGCACCUGAUAUCAGCCGGUGUUCUGUCUCUAAUGGAGUGGUUUGGAAAUGUGUAAGUGGCCCCAAACUUUAGACCGGUAGUGUAUA